AAUACUUAGUGGCAGACGGGUGAGUAACAUGUAGGUAUCUGCCCUUUGGCCUGGAAUAACACGAGGAAACUUGUGCUAAUACCGGAUAAGUCUUUACGGAGAAAGCUUUAUGCACCAUUGGAUGAGCCUGCACUUGAUUAGUUUGUUGGUGGGGUAAUGGCCUACCAAGACUGUGAUCAAUAGCUGAUUUGAGAGGAUGAUCAGCCACAUUGGGACUGAGACACGGCCCAAACUCCUACGGGAGGCAGCAGUGGGGAAUCUUGCACAAUGGAGGAAACUCUGAUGCAGCGAUGCCGCGUGAGUGAAGAAGGCCCUUGGGUUGUAAAGCUCUUUCGUCGGGGAAGAAAAUGACUGUACCCGAAUAAGAAGGUCCGGCUAACUUCGUGCCAGCAGCCGCGGUAAUACGAAGGGACCUAGCGUAGUUCGGAAUUACUGGGCUUAAAGAGUUCGUAGGUGGUUGAAAAAGUUAGUGGUGAAAUCCCAGAGCUUAACUCUGGAACUGCCAUUAAAACUUUUCAGCUAGAGUAUGAUAGAGGAAAGCAGAAUUUCUAGUGUAGAGGUGAAGUUCGUAGAUAUUAGAAAGAAUACCAAUUGCGAAGGCAGCUUUCUGGAUCAUUACUGACACUGAGGAACGAAAGCAUGGGUAGCGAAGAGGAUUAGAUACCCUCGUAGUCCAUGCCGUAAACGAUGUGUGUUAGACGUUGGAAAUUUAUUUUCAGUGUCGCAGGGAAACCGAUAAACACACCGCCCUGGGGGAGUACGACCGCAAGGUUAAAACUCAAAUGAAUUGACGGGGACCCGCACAAGUAGUGGAGCAUGUGGGUUUAAUUCGAAGAUACGCGCAGAACCUUACCAACACUUGACAUGUUCGUCGCGACUCUAAGAGAAUUAGAAGUUUUCGGUUUCGGCCGGACGAAACACAGGUGCUGCAUGGCUGUCGUCAGCUCGUGUCGUGAGGAUGUUGGGGUUAAGUCCCGCAACGAGCGCAACCCUCACUUUUAGUUGCCAUCAUUUAAGUUGGG
rnacentral:rRNA from 1 species